rnacentral:rRNA from 1 species
GAUGAACGCUGGCGGCGUGCCUAAUACAUGCAAGUCGAGCGAACAGACGAGGAGCUUGCUCCUCUGACGUUAGCGGCGGACGGGUGAGUAACACGUGGAUAACCUACCUAUAAGACUGGGAUAACUUCUGGAAACCGGAGCUAAUACCGGAUAAUAUAUUGAACCGCAUGGUUCAAUAGUGAAAGACGGUUUUGCUUUCACUUAUAGAUGGAUCCGCGCCGCAUUAGUUAGUUGGUAAGGUAACGGCUUACCAAGGCAACGAUGCGUAGCCGACCUGAGAGGGUGACCGGCCACACUGGAACUGAGAACCGGUCCAGACUCCUACGGGAGGAAGAAGUAGGGAAUCUUCCGCAAUGGGCGAAAGCUUGACGGAGCAACGCCGCGUGAGUGAUGAAGGUCUUCGGAUCGUAAAACUCUGUUAUUAGGGAAGAACAAAUGUGUAAGUAACUAUGCACGUCUUGACGGUACCUAAUCAGAAAGCCACGGCUAACUACGUG